AAUUGGAAACGAUAGCUAAUACCGCAUAAGAGUAGAUGUUGCAUGACAUUUGCUUAAAAGGUGCAAUUGCAUCACUACCAGAUGGACCUGCGUUGUAUUAGCUAGUUGGUGAGGUAACGGCUCACCAAGGCGACGAUACAUAGCCGACCUGAGAGGGUGAUCGGCCACACUGGGACUGAGACGCGGCCCAG
rnacentral:rRNA from 1 species